rnacentral:sRNA from 2 species
GCGCCCGUCAUCUGGGGAGUAGCCAGCCGCCCGAACCGGGCGGGCCUUCGCGUCAACAUACUUGGUCGAGAGGCCAUGGUGCGAAGGGAGCGGGACCACCGUUCGGGCGAGACCAAUGACACCGCACCUUCGCCUUGCCGGGCGGGGGGUGUGGUGUCGUUGGAUUUUUCGCCGCCCGGCCC